AGCGAACGCUGGCGGCAGGCUUAACACAUGCAAGUCGAGCGGGCAUCCUUGUGGUGUCAGCGGCAGACGGGCGAGUAACGCGUGGGAACGUGCCCUUCGGUUCGGAAUAACUCAGGGAAACUUGAGCUAAUACCGGAUACGCCCUUUUGGGGAAAGGUUUACUGCCGAAGGAUCGGCCCGCGUCUGAUUAGCUAGUUGGUGAGGUUAUGGCUCACCAAGGCGACGAUCAGUAGCUGGUCUGAGAGGAUGAUCAGCCACACUGGGACUGAGACACGGCCCAGACUCCUACGGGAGGCAGCAGUGGGGAAUAUUGGACAAUGGGGGCAACCCUGAUCCAGCCAUGCCGCGUGAGUGAUGACGGCCUUAGGGUUGUAAAGCUCUUUUCUCCGGGACGAUAAUGACGGUACCGGAGGAAUAAGCCCCGGCUAACCUCGUG
rnacentral:rRNA from 1 species